rnacentral:rRNA from 1 species
ACGUGUACCCUCGUGCCGCAUGUAUAGGAAUCCACACCGUCAAACCUUGCAAACAAAAACUUAACGUUACCUCGGCGGGUUUGCCCGCUGGUGGAUAAACACUUAAACUCUUUUAAAAACAACGCUGUAAUUAGUGUACAAGUCUGAAAAUAAGUUAAUAAUUUAAAACUUUCAACAACGGAUCUCUUGGUUCUGGCAUCGAUGAAGAACGCAGCGAAAUGCGAUAAGUAGUGUGAAUUGCAGAAUUCAGUGAAUCAUCGAAUCUUUGAACGCACAUUGCGCCCCUCGGUAUCCCGGGGGGCAUGCCUGUUCGAGCGUCAUUUCUACCACUCAAGUUUAACUUGGUAUUGGGUGUUGUAGCUCCUAAAAGCUACAUGCCUUAAAUUUAGCCGGCAACAAGCACCAGUUCCGAGCGUAGCAGUAAAACAUUUCGCUUUGGGAGCCUUGGAGUAUUGUUCACCGCAAGAAUCUUUAUAGU